rnacentral:rRNA from 1 species
GACGAACGCUGGCGGCGUGCUUAACACAUGCAAGUCGAACGGAAAGGCCCUGCUGUUGUGGGGUGCUCGAGUGGCGAACGGAUGAGUAACACGUGAGUAACCUGCCCUUGACUUUGGGAUAACUUCAGGAAACUGGGGCUAAUACCGGAUAGGAGCUCCUGCUGCAUGGUGGGGGUUGGAAAGUUUCGGCGGUUGGGGAUGGACUCGCGGCUUAUCAGCUUGUUGGUGGGGUAGUGGCUUACCAAGGCUUUGACGGGUAGCCGGCCUGAGAGGGUGACCGGCCACAUUGGGACUGAGAUACGGCCCAGACUCCUACGGGAGGCAGCAGUGGGGAAUAUUGCACAAUGGGCGGAAGCCUGAUGCAGCAACGCCGCGUGCGGGAUGACGGCCUUCGGGUUGUAAACCGCUUUCGCCUGUGACGAAGCGUGAGUGACGGUAAUGGGUAAAGAAGCACCGGCUAACUACGUG